AGAUCUGCUCCUCGGUGAACCAAGACGUCAACAACAGAGGCCGCGUUGGACUCGCUGGCCAGCAUCAAUGCAGUCCUACAACACAAAAGUGUCUCCACUGUGUCUGUACCUGCCACUGCUGUCAGAAGCAUUGAUUUCAGCACCGCAGUCCAGUAAAGUGCAGCAUACUUCAGCAUGAGCGUGUUUGGCUGACAACAGCAAGGAGUGAUGUUUCCUCGACUGUCCCGGUUCUCUCCCGCUCGAUCUGUCUGCCUGCCUCUCCUUCAGGCCUGAGGCUGGAUGCAAGGACAAGGACGAGAGAGCAAGGAGCAAUUAGACAUGCUGAGAGACCAAGAAAUAUUGGACUGGUAUAAAUAAUACCAGUUACUACUUAUGUCCUGUGCAUUGUUUUAAAGUUAUAUUUUACUCAUUCUUCCUUACCUGCCACACAGAUGUUAAGUUCUCUCUAUUUGUGAAGUCUUGAAAACAAACUAUGG